rnacentral:lncRNA from 1 species
CUUACUCCUAGGUUUGGACUGUCCUUACGAAUUGACUCAGAUAACAGGCCGGAGUUUGUGGCUGACUUGGUACAGAAGAAGCAAAGGCAUUAGGAAUCACUUGGAAGCUAAAUGUCACCUACUGACCUCAGAGUUCCGGAAAGGUGAUCAUGUGUGGAUCAAGGACUGGAAUGUAGCCCCUUUGCGGCCACGGUGGAAAGGACCUCAGACCGUCAUCCUGAACACCCCCACGGCUGUAAAGGUAGAAGAAAUCCCAGCCUGAAUCCAUC